AAAUGAAAUGAAACUAAAAGCAGAAAUGGCAAUAACAGGCAAGUGAAUGACAAAGCAGAAAUGAUAACAGGCAAUCAAAUGGAUAAAAGAUUCCUAAGGAUGGGGUAAUCGAAUAGUGUGGUCUACUUAAUUUAUUCAGGCGGUUGACAAAACUUCACAGAAGCUAUCCCUAGACAACAAGUUCAACAACAGAUUAAUUCACUCCCGUGAUAGAAAUCCUCAAGCAAAGCUAGACACUGACCUAAAUCCCUUUAGCGAUCUCUAACUAAGCAGGCAUUAUCGAAUCAACAUGUUAAAGUCAAUACCCUCUCUACAGCCAAUCCCUUGGGGUAGAGUCAGAUAUCUCUGGAUUUAAUAGGAUCCAACGCCCAUUAAACGCCUUCUGAGCGCUGGACAUCUGGACUCAUACUCCACAUUAGCCAGUGAAAUAAGCAAUAAGCGCAACUAAUCCAGAAGGGAUUCUAGUAUUCUAAACUCAACCACCUAAAACGACCAAGUAAACCACAACUAUUCUAUCCCAUCCUCAGAAAUACAGUUCACUACUCAGACAUAAUCAAAGACAAUAACAAAGCAACAAUUGAAAACAUGAUAACAGAAAUGACGAAAGACUUAAACGAAAACUGAAUAUCUAAUACUUGAAGGCGAAACUACAAAGUCGCAGGAGAAACACUGCGGCUAUCAAAGUUGCGAAAAUGUAAAAGCGAGAUAGAAACGGAUAAUAGCGGAUGCCCUAGGGAAAACCCUAAGAGGUAGUUUAUAUAAGCGAAAAAUGAAACAAAUAAGGAAACUAAAUAUAAAGCGAAUCUUCACGUCAUGACCCCGCGACCGAAUGUGUCAUUGACAUCUGACGGGCUGAAAUGAGCUUCCUAGUGAUCGAGUAUGUCAUUGAUCAAACUGGGCUUCAGGGGCUCCGUCUUGCGAUCGAGUGAGAUGCAGUGAAGUCAAGAUUGAAUGGUCCAGUGACCCUGUGAUCGAGUGCGAUCGAGUGGAUGUCAUGAGGUGGUGAUCGAGUGGUUUCUUCGGCUUCUCUUCUCUUCUUUGUUCUCAGCUUGUCUGGUUGAGUGCAGAAUGAGCAGAUAGGCUUCCUGGUGAUCGAGUGGUGAUCGAGUGGUUCCGAUGGGGUGAUUCCUCCAGCUUCGCGAUUGAGUGAAACUGAGCUGCUUGCUUCUCCGGGGUUGCAAUAGAGUGAUUUGCCCUGGCAGGGCUCCGAGGCUGCGAUAGAGUACUUUUGCUGAAGGCGUCAUUGGGCAUUCUGACUUCAUGUUCUGUUUUUCUUCUGUUUGAACUCCAAAAGCAUACAAAGUACCUGAAAACAACCAAAUAUGCCAUGCACAUGCAAUCGUCCUAAGUAUGUAAAACACACUAAAACGACUCCUAAUGAGAUGAAAUGUGGAUGAAACAAUGACAAAGUGGUGAAGAAUGAAUGCCUAAAUCAUGCAAAUUAUAGACAUAUCACAAGUCCCUCGAGUUACCGGUACCUCAGAAGCAUAC
rnacentral:sRNA from 1 species